CCAGAAAACAAAUUCAAAUGCAUGCUCAUUCGUAAACUUUCAUUUGUGUUUAUUUAUUUUGUGCCAGUAUAUUUUGUGUAUAGUUAUUUCUUAUGACACGUUUUAGUCUGUGCCACUAAAGACUGAGAGGCUUAAAUACAGAAAAUGUUUAUUUCUUACAAUUUAAAAUGCACAGUCCAUGAUCAAGGGCCCAGAAGAUCCAAUGUCUGAUGAGGACCCUUUUAUGGUUUGCAGAUGGAUUCUGUGUAUCUUCAUAACAAGAAAAGAGGGGGAGCACUUUACUGUCAUAACCUGCACAGAAAGCUCACUUUAUAAAUUAUGGUGUCAAGUUUAGUACAUGGUGAGACUCAAUCUUCUGCAAGAUACUUCUCAGAAGUACGAAUGUCCAAUAAAUACCUGGAAAAGUGUACAACAUGGCUGGCCAUUAGAGAAAUGCAAAUUAAAACAACACUGAGAUUCCAUCCUAAUGCAGACAGAAUGGCUACCAUCAAGAAAUCAAAUAAUAAUAAAUGCCAGGGAUGCUUUGGGGAAAAAGGAAUUCUUUUACAUUGUGGGUGGGAAUUUGAACUAAAAUAAUGACUAUGGAAAUCAGUGUGGAAAUUCCUCAAAAAACUAAAAAUAGAAAUCCCAUUUGACCCAGCUCUUUCCCUUCUAUGUACUUUUUUAAAGAGUUAAUUUUAAUGUCAUGAUAGUGCAAAGACACAUACAUAUUCAUGUUUGUUCCAGAACAAUUUAUAAUAGCUAAUAUCUAUCAACAGGUGAAUGGUUACAGAAAAUGUGGUGUAUACCAUGGAGGACUAUUCUUCCAUAAUGAAAGAUAAACAUGAAGUUUUCAUAAGUAAAUAUAGGCGCCUUGAGACCAUAAUGUUAAGUGAAAUAAACCAGAAGCAGUAGCUUAAAUACAGUAUGAUUUCUUUUAUAUGAGAAAAUUGAAUAUAUGUGAUAAGUAAAUAGGAAGUACAGAGAUAAUUUUCAAAGUAAUGUGGGAAUGACAUUGAGGGGGAAAAAGGAGAAGGAAAGGUGAUGGGAAAAAGGAAUGAAAAGUGAAGGAAAUGGAAACAUGUACUAAUAAAAAAUAAAAUGUACCAUAAUUAGAAUUGGUGAAAUUAGUAUAUUCUUUAUAAAUGUAUUCACAGACACACAGUAGAAUCGUCUCCAUUUUUAUGCAGACAAGGCAUAAAAGUCCAUAGAUCCUUGUCAGAUCUUUACAAGUGGCAAAGUGGGCCUGUCCUUCACCAUGCUUUGUGCUGUUGGGCUAUAGGGAUCUUGGUCAUGUAACUUGACAGAAGUUUAGCUAAAUUAUGCUACUAGAAUAGCAUCACAUUUUGUUAUAUUCUUCACAUAAAUAAUUUUUUCAAGGCUUCAAAGAAGGCAAGG
rnacentral:lncRNA from 1 species